rnacentral:rRNA from 1 species
AUUGAACGCUGGCGGCAUGCCUAACACAUGCAAGUCGAACGAGUGGCGGACAGGUGAGUAUUGUCCGUGAAACUGCCCGCUGGAGUGGGAUAUCUACUGGAAACGGUAGCGAAUACCGCAUACCAUCAGAUGUGCGCAGAUGGGCUUGGCUAGUAGGGGGGGUAACGGAUCACCUAGGCGACGAUCCGUAACGGGUCUGAGAGGAUGAUCAGCCACACUGGGACUGAGACACGGUCCAGACUCCUACGGGAGGCAGCAGUGGGGAAUAUUGGACAAUGGGCGCAAGCCUGAUCCAGCCAUGCCGCGUGUCGGAAGAAGGUCUUCGGAUUGUAAAGCACUUUAAGUAGGGAGGCGUUACCUAAAGAAUAAGCACCGGCUAACUUCGUGCCAGCAGCCGCGGUAAUUC